rnacentral:lncRNA from 1 species
CCAGGACUCUCUGCAGACUUGAGAAAGGCUGCAGAGGAGAGGGCUGAGGGGUGGGGUGGAGAUGAGGAGAAAAACAGUUAUCUGCUGAAUGCCAAGCCCCUGGUCUUUAAAUGCCACCUCACUCAGUCCUCCCAGCAGCCAUUGGGGUUGACUUGAUGGUACCAUUCCAGGGAUGAUCACACUCAGAGCAUGAAGUGACUGGGCAGUGGCGGGGUCAGCUUUGGCUUUAGGGCCUUGAGCUGGAAUGUUCUUGGGAUUUGGGUCCCCGCCCUGCUGCUUGCCAGCUCUGGGCCGAGGCAAGUUACUUCCCCUCCUCAAUUUCUCGGUUUCCUCAUUGGCUGUCUCCGGGGACGACUGUGAGCCGUAUAUGUGACAGCUGGGGGCACAGGAACUGACCAGAAGGAAGGAGGGACUGCUCCAGUAGUCAGAAUUUUCCCAACUCUUGAUGGACCUGCGUGGUGCUCACUGCCUCCUGGCUCCGACGACACCACACGGGGAACGCUGAGCAGCACUGCCCAUGGGAAGGGCCCUGGCCUCUGAAAGGUACCAGGGACGCACAUCUCUUGGCAGCUCUAGAAUGGGUCCGAAGCCAAACCAGGGACAGUCUCUCUACCCGUCUGUAUCAGAUGAGGACCAUUGGAUUAAAGUUGUGAAUUCUCUCUGGACGUCAAUAAAUAUGGAAAUGCCAUUGGGGAGAUAA